UGGGGAAUAUUGGACAAUGGGCGAAAGCCUGAUCCAGCCAUGCCGCGUGUGUGAAGAAGGCCUUCGGGUUGUAAAGCACUUUUAUACGGGAAGAAACGCAACUGGUUAAUACCCGGUUGUACUGACGGUACCGUAAGAAUAAGCACCGGCUAACUUCGUGCCAGCAGCCGCGGUAAUACGAAGGGUGCAAGCGUUACUCGGAAUUACUGGGCGUAAAGCGUGCGUAGGUGGUUUGUUAAGUCUGAUGUGAAAGCCCUGGGCUCAACCUGGGAAUGGCAUUGGAUACUGGCAGUCUAGAGUGUGGGAGAGGGUAGUGGAAUUCCCGGUGUAGCAGUGAAAUGCGUAGAUAUCGGGAGGAACAUCCGUGGCGAAGGCGACUACCUGGACCAACACUGACACUGAGGCACGAAAGCGUGGGGAGCAAACAGG
rnacentral:rRNA from 1 species